UGGCAUUCAGAGGCAAAGACAGCUUGGAAGUUUUGAGAGACACUGUUUUGUGAGGUUUGCUCUGGACAAUGAAAAAUGCGUGAGGAGAGGAAAGCCUCUCAUGUCAGCGUUCACACGAAAUGACGAAAUGACGAAAACUCUAGACCCUUACAGGAAGUCACCUGAGGGGAGUCCGCAAAGACACCGCUGUUCUGGCUGGAGAUUCAUAGAGCGCCUGCUCCCGGCCAGACACUGGACCAAGCUGAGGGCUCCCGAGACUGGGAGGGGAGCUCAGGAGACUUAUUCGGCUUGGGGAUGGAAACAAAACCUACCAUGGCAGCCCAGGAUGCGAGUGACCCAGCAGAGAUGGCCACAAAAAGUACUUUCAGUGUUCUUGGUACUAGCCAAGAUGGAAUAGCUGUGUCCCACUAAAGUCUCCCUCACGACCAAAGCACAACUAGC